rnacentral:rRNA from 1 species
UACAGAGGUCUCAAGCGUUGUUCGGAUUCACUGGGCGUAAAGGGUGCGUAGGCGGCGCGGUAAGUCGGGUGUGAAAUCUUGGAGCUUAACUCCGAGACUGCAUUCGAUACUGCCGUGCUUGAGGACUGGAGAGGAGACUGGAAUUUACGGUGUAGCGGUGAAAUGCGUAGAUAUCGUAAGGAAGACCAGUGGCGAAGGCGGGGUCUCUGG